UCACGAUAAUCGCAAACUUACCAAAAGGUGGGGACGCAAAGCUAUGGGUCUAAGGGAAGGAAAUUCUUAUGAUUGCCAGGUUGCCGAA
rnacentral:ncRNA from 2 species